rnacentral:rRNA from 1 species
GACGAACGCUGGCGGCGUGCUUAACACAUGCAAGUCGAACGGAAAGGCCCCUUUGGGGGUACUCGCGUGGCGAACGGGUGAGUAACACGCGAGUAACCUGCCCUUGACUUCGGGAUAACUUCAUGAAACUGGGGCUAAUACCGAAUAGGAAUCCUUUCUGCCUGGUGGGGGGUGGAAAGCUUCGUCGGUUUUGGAUGGACUCGCGGCCUAUCAGCUGGUUGGUGGGGUAGUGGCUUACCAAGGCUUUGACGGGUAGCCGGCCUGAGAGGGCGAACGGCCACAUUGGGACUGGGAUACGGCCCAGACUCCCACGGGGGGCAGCAGGGGGGAAUAUUGCACAAUGGGCGGAAGCCUGAUGCAGGAACGCCGCGUGCGGGAUGACGGCCUUCGGGUUGUAAACCGCUUUCAGCAGGGGCGAAGCUUGUGGUGACGGUACCUGCAGAAGAAGCACCGGCUAACUACGUG